rnacentral:rRNA from 1 species
UGGGGAAUUUUUGGACAAUGGGCGAAAGCCUGAUCCAGCAAUGCCGCGUGUGUGAAGAAGGCCUUCGGGUUGUAAAGCACUUUUGUCCGGAAAGAAAUCCUUGGCUCUAAUACAGUCGGGGGAUGACGGUACCGGAAGAAUAAGCACCGGCUAACUACGUGCCAGCAGCCGCGGUAAUACGUAGGGUGCAAGCGUUAAUCGGAAUUACUGGGCGUAAAGCGUGCGCAGGCGGUUUGCUAAGACCGAUGUGAAAUCCCCGGGCUCAACCUGGGAACUGCAUUGGUGACUGGCAGGCUAGAGUAUGGCAGAGGGGGGUAGAAUUCCACGUGUAGCAGUGAAAUGCGUAGAGAUGUGGAGGAAUACCGAUGGCGAAGGCAGCCCCCUGGGCCAAUACUGACGCUCAUGCACGAAAGCGUGGGGGAGCAAACAGGAUUAGAUACCCCUGGUAGUCCACGCCCUAAACGAUGUCAACUAGUUGUUGGGGAUUCAUUUCCUUAGUAACGUAGCUAACGCGUGAAGUUGACCGCCUGGGGAGUACGGUCGCAAGAUUAAAACUUAAAUGAAUUGACGGGGUCAUAGCUGUUUCCU